AUAAAAUUUCCAUAUGCUUUGUUAAUUCCUAGCGGGCAAGAUUUUUUUCAAAAAAUGAAAAACAUCAUAAUCAGUCUAGGAAAUAAAAAAAUUU
rnacentral:snoRNA from 2 species